rnacentral:rRNA from 1 species
AAUCAACGCUGGCGGCGCGCCUAACACAUGCAAGUCGAACGAGAAAGGGGAGCAAUCCCUGAGUAGAGUGGCGUACGGGUGAGUAACACGUGGGUAAUCUGCCUCUUAGUGGGGAAUAACCCUGGGAAACCGGGGCUAAUACCGCAUAAGCCCGAGAGGGGAAACGCGAAAGCGGCUGAGAGAGGAGCCCGCGGCCGAUUAGCUAGUUGGUGGGGUAAAAGCCUACCAAGGCAAAGAUCGGUAGCCGGCCUGAGAGGGCACACGGCCACA